GCGGGGGUAGCUCAGUGGUAGAGCUCCUGCCUUCCAAGCAGGAUGUCGCCGGUUCGAAUCCGGUCCCCCGCUCCA
rnacentral:tRNA from 1 species